rnacentral:lncRNA from 1 species
AACAACAACAACAACAGCACGGCUUACCACCCAUGCAAUUCCGUCCUCCUCAGGGAAUGCCACCGCCACCACCUCCUCAGUUUCAUCAUCACCAACAAGGUUUCGGUGGUCCAAGGCCACCACCACCACCACCUCAAGCCAUGGGAAUGCACCAACAUGGGUGGCCGCCGCAACACAUGCAGCAAGGUGGACCACCACCGCCACAACAACAACCUCCUAUGCACCACCAUCAUCACAUGUCUAUGCCUCCGCCACCACCACCACCUCACCAAGGC